UACGUAGGGUGCGAGCGUUGUCCGGAAUUAUUGGGCGUAAAGCGCUCGUAGGCGGCUUGUCGCGUCGGAUGUGAAAGCCCGGGGCUUAACUCCGGGUCUGCAUUCGAUACGGGCAGGCUAGAGUUCGGUAGGGGAGAUCGGAAUUCCUGGUGUAGCGGUGAAAUGCGCAGAUAUCAGGAGGAACACCGGUGGCGAAGGCGGAUCUCUGGGCCGAUACUGACGCUGAGGCGCGAAAGCUAGGGGAGCAAACGGG
rnacentral:rRNA from 1 species